GCCUGACUAGCUCAGUUGGUAGAGCAUGAGACUCUUAAUCUCAGGGUCAUGGGUUCAAGCCCCAUGUGAGGCA